rnacentral:rRNA from 1 species
GGUGCCAGCAGCCGCGGUAAUUCCAGCUCCAAUAGCGUAUAUUAAAGUUGUUGCAGUUAAAAAGCUCGUAGUUGAAUUUCGGGAUUAGUAAGUUGGUCGUGCCUCUGGUAUGUACUGGCUUUACUGAUUCCUCCUUCUUGAAGAACUGUAAUGUCAUUAAUUUGGUGUUGCAGGGAAACAGGACUGUUACUUUGAAAAAAUUAGAGUGUUUAAAGCAGGCUAACGCUUGAAUACAUUAGCAUGGAAUAAUGAAAUAGGACGUUUGAUCCUAUUUUGUUGGUUUCUAGGAUUGACGUAAUGAUUAAUAGGGAUAGUUGGGGGCAUUAGUAUUCAAUUGUCAGAGGUGAAAUUCUUGGAUUUAUUGAAGACUAACUACUGCGAAAGCAUUUGCCAAGGAUGUUUUCAUUAAUCAAGAACGAAAGUUAGGGGAUCGAAGACGAUCAGAUACCGUCGUAGUCUUAACCAUAAACUAUGCCGACUAGGGAUCGGAUGAUGUUAAUUUUUUAAUGACUCA